CCUACGGGAGGCAGCAGUGGGGAAUAUUGCACAAUGGGGGAAACCCUGAUGCAGCGACGCCGCGUGAGUGAAGAAGUAUCUCGGUACGUAAAGCUCUAUCAGUAGGGAAGUAAAUGACGGUACCUGACCAUGAAGCCCUGGCCAAUUACGUGCCAGCAGCCGCGGUAAUACGUAGGCGGCCAGCGUUAUACGGAUUUACUGGGUGUAAAGGGAGCGUAGACGGCAGCAGAAGUCAGGAGUGAAAUCCCGGGGCUUAACCCCGGAACUGCUUUGGAAACUGGGCGGCUGGAGUGCAGGCGGGGUAAGCGGAAUUCCUGGUGUAGCGGUGAAAUGCGUAGAUAUUAGGAGGAACACCGGUGGCGAAGGCAGCUUACUAGACUGUAACUGACGUUGAGGCUCGAAAGCGUGGGGAGCAAACAGGAUUAGAUACCCGAGUAGUC
rnacentral:rRNA from 1 species